UCCCUGGUGGCUCAGCAGUAAAGAAUCUGCCUGCGAAGCAGGAGUUGCAAGAGACAGAGGUCCGAUCCCUGGAUCAGGAAA